rnacentral:rRNA from 1 species
UACGUAGGGUGCAAGCGUUGCCCGGAUUUAUUGGGCGUAAAGGGCGCGUAGGCGGCUCUGCACGUCCGUUGUGAAAUCGCCCGGCUCAACUGGGCGGGGUCAGCGGAUACGGCGGAGCUUGAGCAAGCUAGGGGGCAAUGGAAUUCCCGGUGUAGUGGUGGAAUGCGUAGAUAUCAGGAGGAACACCGGUGGCGAAGGCGGGUCUCUGGGCAGUAACUGACGCUGAGGAGCGAAAGCGUGGGGAGCGAACAGG